ensembl:lncRNA
CCACCUGAUGGGGGAAAUACUUCUGUGUAUGUUUAUAAAUAAAGUACUUGCUUGGCCAAUGAGACAGCAGGUUAGGCUGGACUAGGAGUCAAAGAGGAUUCUGGGAAAUGUAGUAGAGAAGUGGUGUUCCAGACAGGAAGUGACAUAGCAAGGAGACUCAUAUUUAAGAAGAGGAAAAAGGAAGUGUUGCUCUCUUUCCCCUCGGCUCCUGCUCCAGCGGCAAGAUGUGAUCCACCAGCUAGGAGGGGCGCCAAUAAGGCGUCCGAUAAGAUAAGUCUUAUAAAAUAUAUAGAUGUAUGAUGAUUGAUACUGAGCUAACAGAUGAGAAUCCUAGUCAUUGGCCAAGCAGCAUUGUAACUAAUACAAGUCUCUCUGUGUAUUCAUUUGGGCCUAACUUGGGCAGGCGGCUGCCAUAAAGCUUACACGUGGCGGUGGGGCUCAGCGGCUUUUGGCAGAAAGAUUUAUCGUAACAACCACCAGUUUGCUAGACCAGCAUAAUUCCUUACUGCAAUCUAAAUCUUGUCCUUAUACCACAGAUAGUGUGGACUCACCCCCCCCCCAUCAAUGAAGCUUCUCUUUGCACCAAAUGCAGACCAUCACAGAAAACCAAAACUGAACACAACACAGAGAUUAAUGGAUCAUGGGAACCCAGCCCAGUGAAUACAUAGACAUCACAGCUCCCACAUUUAUGACUCAGGGAACACCAUGAAAGAGCGGUCAGAAAGAUUAUAAAAGCCAGAAUACCAGGGAGUCUUUUGUGGGACAGUCUCUCAAAGAAAUGGCUGCAUAAACAAGACCUGCACCAAGGCAGUGUAAUAGACAUGCUAACACUAUAAGAGGAAAAUCUCAUGGGGUCACACCCUUGACAAGGAACUAUAACCAACCAGUUACUGCUGAGAGAUAAAGAGUUAGACCCUCCCAGGCAUGUGGCCCCUAAUUAGUUGUCCAAUACAAAAAAAAAUGUUGAGUUCUAAAACCAUGUACACACAAACAACAAAAACGGAGUCAGCAGAUUUUAUUUGUGUGUGUGUGUAUGUGUGUAAAACAAUAGUAAUCAAUUUGAUGGGAGAGGAGUCAUAGAGAGGGUUGGAGAGAGGGUACAGGGAAGGGGCUAGAGGGAGGAAGUGAAGGGAGAAGGUGAUAUAAUUCUAUUUUAAUUAAAAAUGUAUAAAAUGCUUUAGAAAUAAUUUUUAAGAGAAAGGUUAGACCACAAUUCUAGGAUAAAAUGUAACAGUCCUAGCGUGUCAUCAAGGAGGCAUGGGAGGUGGUAGGCUUCAUACUGGGAGAGUGGAUAGCAAUGCAUCUUUGCAGAUUUUCUCAUUUUAAUAAGGGUCGGGUGAACACUGUGGGAAGGAGGUUUCAUGCCAGUAAGGAACAGAACGGGAAUCUUCAAGUAAAGAACAUAAAUCUAGUUCAGAAGAAUAUUGUGAUCAGUUCUCCCACACAGCAACAGAACCUUUCUCUCUGCUGCCCUACCUACCAGAAUUGAUACUAGAGCACAGGAGAAAUGUGGCAUAGCAGCCUCCAUGCUGGGAACAUUUCUCCCUGGGAACGAUGGCCAUGCUUCCAGGAUGUGCACUUAGACUCACUGUUACCUCUGAAGUGCCUCUGGACAACUGUUCAUACCUGUUCUUCUGUCCCUCUUUUGGCUUCUGAGAAUGUCCUCCCAGCUGUCUUUUCUGAAGAUCUGGCCCCCAUCCCAACCCCUGAAAACUUUGUCAGGCACCUUCUUCUUCACAGUGUCUCUUCUGGACCUCCCAUUUAUUUUGCUUGGUUCUCUUAUUUUCAUGACAUUGGAUUUCUGUCUCACAGGUCACAUUUAACUGCACACCAGAAAUAAAUAUAACCAGUAUCUACUUACUCUAGACAUGAACUCACCCUAAGGCCUAUGACUUUCAAAUCUUUGUACACAUCUAUAAGUGUAUGCAAUAUAGGUGCUCAAAAAUAUCUUUACCGUGAGUAAUUCAAAACACAGAGCUGAAAGACAUAGAGCAUUCUAUCUGUGUACAAAUAGCCACAAUGAUAAAGGACACAGCCAUCUGUUUGGGUUUUUUUCCCUUUGUUUUUUUUUUUUUUUUCCUUUUUUGGAACACUGCCUUCAUUCACUUUCAGUACCACAACAGAGGCUUAAGAAAGUUACUGAACCAUGACCCAACUGCUAGACUUCCAGAUGACCUACAUUUUAAACUUAAGACCAGUGAACCAAUUCACAAAUUGGAUUGGCAAAACAGUAUUAAAACAUGACCCAGGAGGCAAGCCUCCUUGGAAGAAAAUUUUCUUAGUGCAUUUGGGAUUAUUAGUCUCAUGGCUGCAUCAGGAGAUCCUUUUACCAAGGAAUUAAAGAGGCCAUUUUCAAAGAAAGCAAGUGCACCCCCAUCCCCAGAGACUGCUCUGCACCUCUGUCACUCUGUCCAUGAGGUCUUCCCUUGAACACUGUCUCAUACUGCACACAGCCAGCUACCUCCAAUGCCUGCUUCUCCUCCUGCAGCUCCCACCUUUUAAAAUUGCUGGAUAGUUUUCUAAUGCCUUCUAUCUUGUGCUCAUUAAUUAGAUCUAUUUGCCAUAUUCUUGCUAGUAUAUAAACUCAACAGUUCAUAUGAAGCACGACUGCACACAAAGAAUCUACACAGUACCCUACAACAGUGGGCCCUCAAUAAAUACUUUUGAAAAUGUAAGUCAGUGAUUUAAAAUGUUUCCUUCAGGAGUAUCUCUGUGCUAGUGAAAUUGUGAAGAGCCUUAAAUGGAGCUUGUAAGGGUAUAAGCUAGGAAAAUUAAAAAGAGUUAAGCUUGCCCCUCCCAACAGCUACAGUUUAGAUAGAAUCUCAGAUAAAGAAUGGGGAAAAGCAAACAACAGGGAAACCUCAUGGGGUGGACCUGUGAGUAAAGCACUUGCUGCACAAAGAUGAGGGCCUAGACUUGCAUCUCCAGAAUCCACAUAAAGCCAGUCACUGCAGUGCCCUGGUAUGAACUUCUUCCUGAGAUGACCAGUGAGGACCAUGUGCUGGCUUUUUGACACAGCAUCUUUGCUGGCCCUGUCAGGAGUGAGUUUCUAUCAGUCACGUUCACUGAAACAUAAACAGGGAGAAGAACAAUUUCAUCUUACUAACCCUGAUGACUUUCCUAAUUUCUGAGCACUUCUGGAUGAGGCUUCUGUCUCGAAACUUCCACCCUGAGGGAUAGCAGGAUGAAGAGUGGAAAGGGCUGGAGACCUUCUCGUUCAUUACAUUCAUUCCAGAAGUAGAGGAACAGCACCUUGGACAUAAGCAUCCGAAAAUCAGUGUGGCUUUCUCUUCUGCCAUCUUUUCAAAAGUCAUGUGUCUUGACACUCCCACCGAGAAAAAUUCAUUGUUGUGCCUAGGGCACCAGCGGGGAAUCAAACCAUUCUCUGUAAGUAUCGGGUGAAUCUGAGGCUACUAGGGGAAGCGAGCUUCCAGGGAGCAGGUUGGGACAUUCCAGGAAGCACUGAGUCCUUCAGGGUGUUGUAGGAAAUACUGAUGUACAAAAUUGGGGAGAUCUCUCAUUGCACAUCUAAACAGGCACACACCCACACUACAAUUAAAUCCAAAGCUCAUUUUCCUGAGUUCACAGAAGGGAUAUAAAAAGAAGAGACAGGAGGUUGAUCUAAAUUGGAUACUGUUUCCCUCAUGCCUUUUAAAGACUCUGUACCUCCCUAGGAUUUUUCCACCUUUACAACCGAUUUUUCACAACUCUAGACUGUUUGCUUCCAUAUUUCUGGCCUUGAAUGUAGUAGAAGAAGAAGAAAAAAAAAUUACUCGUGUCUUUUAAACUCUCCAGAGACCAGAAAACAUUAUUUCUAUUCCAAAAGGCCUCGGAGAUGAUGCAAUCUCCACUACAUUUUUAUUUCAGGCUAAAAUGGCACCCGGAAAAGCAGAUAGAGGAAAAUAGUGUGAGAAAGGGAGAGAUCCAAAGUAUUUGGGGAUCCACAUUUCCAGAGCAUCCACAUGGAGGCAGAUCAUUAUAUAUUUCAGAAGAGAAAUAUGACAAAGCACCUAGACAUAGUCAUUUUCUUUUUAAAUAAGCAAGCAAUGUGCUAAAGAUAAGCAUUCUGAAAUAUUUUCCUAUAGGCCAGUGAGACAUUAGCCUGAAGAAAUUUUUAAGUAAGAUAAUCAUGCAUUUUCCUUCAAGAAGUUGGAUUUUCAGUUAGCCAUAAACGCAAAUUAAAGAUGUAGAUGAUAAGGGGGAGUGGAGGAGAUGUGGCAAUUAAGACCCAUGUUUAGAGUAAAUAGUUAAAGAUGUUGAUCUUCUUAAAAAUCAGCCUCACCCUACCCAAAUAUACAAAGCUGGGUCUGCGUCCUAUCUUACUAGUCACCAGCUCUCUGACAUUAGGAAAGAUAUCCCUUCCUGGGAUUUCUGUGUCCUGACUUUUCAAUCAAGUAGAUUUCCCCUUAUCUUAAAAUCAACUGAAAUAACAGGGAAGUCAUGCAUAGUCCCCAGGACACAGCCAGUCCUGAAGACUCUGCCACACAAACAAAAUAAUGAGUGGCCACUUCUCCUCUGUCAAAGUCAAGCUAAAAAAGAAAAAACAUUAAUGUUCGCCUUGACUAUGUGUAUGAAAAACAACCUUAUUAAAUUUGUUCUACUAUAUUUCUCAGUUAUUCUCUUUUGCUAUUAUUAUUGUUAAUGAGUUCCUAUUCCAAAUUCAUGGUUAAAUUUUAUCAUAUGAAUGUGUGUAUGGGAAAAUAGUACACAAAGGAUUUUGUUCUUUCCAAGAUUGUGGGUAUCUAGGGGGUUUCUUAGAAAGUAACCCCCACGAGCAAGUAGCGACUACUAUACUUCUUUUUCAUUAUUCUUUUGAAAACUCCCCUAGUAUUUAAUCUGUAACUGUCCAAAAUGUUUUAAGGGUAAGGAAACAUGGUGGCACCUUUGCUGUAAAAUCAGAGCUUUGAAGAUAGAGACAAGAGGACAAGGAGUCAAGGUUUGGAUUCUACAUAGAGACUUUGAGGCCAGUCUGGGACCCAUUAGACUUGAUCUCAGAAGAAAAAAAAUAGAAAACUAAAGGAGUUUUGAGUUUGCAGUGCAGGCGUUUGUGUAAGGUGCGUAAAAUAAAGGGCUCCAAGGCCUCUCUAUGUGGUCGUUGAGACUCUUUUUGUUCCAGCUUCAUGGCUAACACAUUCUUUUUUCAAAUUAGAUAAAAAAUAUAAGCAAUCUAAUGCCCACCUGCUGCGCAUGGUAACCACUCAUUAUGACCUAAGAUUAAGAGCACUGAGCAUCUGACAUCAAGCAGGUCUGUUUUUCAAAGGGAUAGAAGUGUAUGGGAAAGGCCUGCAGCAUGCCACCCUUGGCAGGACAGCCGUUCAUUCCUCAGUGAGAAGUUGGGGCUUUCAGAUUGAGUACCCUAGGAAGCCGGCAUAGGAAGUAGCCAGUGUCAAGUCUGCAUUAAAAAAAAAAAAAAGAGGAUAACAAGUUAAAAACACUUCCUUUAUGGUUUUACCAUGGACUACCUUGUCCAGACACAAAGAUUUUGUUCAACAGGUUGUCAUGGACUAAGAGACUCAACAUACAGAGUGUUUUCUCUGAAGUAAACAAAUACCAGGAAAUGUGGAAGCUAGACUUCUUGUUGCUGUGACUCAAUAUCUGAGGGUAAAAAAGUAGGAAAGAUUAAUCUGGACUCACUGUUUGAAAGUAUCAGUCUGUGGUUGGAUGACUGUGCCAUCUCUGUGCCCGGGUAAGGCAGAACGUCAUAAAAAUUUGUAGAGGACAAGGUUGCCCACCUAAUGGUGACUGGAAGCAGAGAAAAGAGGAAGGAGCCCAGAAGCUACAUCCUUCAAAGCUAUGCCAAGGUACCCUGCUCUUUCUAGCAAGGCCCCUCCUACUAAAGCUUCCAGCAUGCCCAAAAUAGUGCCAAAACCCUAGCACAUGAGUUGUGGGGGACACUCUGUAGUUAUACGACAAAAUAAGGGAGUCUGUGGCAUUUAAUGGGGUCCCAUGUGUCCAUAGAGGAGACCACCUGUGCCAUGCAGACCAGAGUGCUCCUUCUAGGAAGGAGUCAUAGUCCAUGAGGGGUCCAAGGGAUGACCUACUUUACAAAGUCAAGUCUUAGCAAAAGUUUUAGAAAAUUAUCAAAUGCUGGAUUUCUUCCAGAAAUGAAUCCAAUUGGUUAUUUAGUCACUGGGUCAACUAGUCCUAUUAGGUAGUCAAUCAUUAAUUGUUCUCAUCUUCUCUUUCAAUGUUUUUAAAUGUCAACUCCAGUGUAUAACUGAAUGAGCAUGGUCGCCCAGUUGGCACAGACUUGCCUUAGCUCUCUCUUGGCCCUCUCUCAAGCCCUGAGACUGCAAAUUUGGUGAAUGCUGAAUGGCCCUUUUCGUUUUGCUUUUUAUCUAUACUUAACCUUACCCAUAACCUAGAAUUUCAGAAGGUGGUUUCAACAUUUUUCUAUAGAGGUCAUGGUGGUUAAUAAUAAAAUGAGGUUAUGGCAGAUACCCCUUAAACUUGACUCAACAAAUUGAAAUAUCAAAGGUUUCCAAUUCCUAAUACAAAGGUCAGGGAUUCAGAGAAGGUCUGUAAGCCAACACAAAGGCAAAACUUCUUCCUUCCAGAACAUUCUCCUAUGUUAAUUAUUUGGCCUACUCUAAAGCUGCUUUCAUCCUGAAUAUGCUUAUUUUGAAGGGUAAAUAUUCAAAUGAAAAUUUAUCCUCUAAUAUAUCCAUUUUAUAAACAACAUAUCAUCUAAAAUUUUCUUUGCCAGAGAAAGUAAAACCAAGCAAUUCCAAACAACACCAGGCCAUUCAAUCUCAAAAAUGUUACUGCUAGAGCAAAAGUAGAAUUAGGGUUUAAGCUCUUUCACGGGGCCUUGACUGGCUGCACCACCAGGAGCAGUGUGUCCUGUCAGCUCUGUCUGAUCUAUACAAACUCUAUAUGCAGUAACUUGAAUAGAAUUAUCAACAUAAACAGGUUUAUGUUAUUAUUUAACAAAUACAGGCCUCACCCUGCUUUACUUCCAGGUAGAAAUCUGUUUGGGAACACACAGAAGAGCUUGAGACCCAGUCAGACAGAUUGCUAAUCAAUUAAGGUCUCUAACUCUACUUAGAAAAUAUCCAUCUAUUAAGUUCAUUUGUUGUCAACAUACUUGAAAGUAUAAAUCAGUUCUGUGCAAGAACCUCUCUUUUAAAAAAAUAUUUCAACUCAAAAAAAUAAAUAUUUCAUUAAUUCUCAGAGAAUUUUAUAGAAUGUGUUUUGAAUGUAUUUGCCUCCUCCCCUCCUCUCACCCAACUUUGAAAUGACUUCUUUUGUUCCAGUUUGCAUUUCCCAGUUGGUGUUGGGAUUGGUGCCUUCCUGGGUGUGUGGUUGACUUCCAGAGAUCACACUGCAAAAGAAUACUAAAACUCCCUCUCCCAGGAACUAUCAAAUGCUAACAGUUUCUCAGCAAGUGAUAGAAUUGUGUGUCCAUCUCCCCAACUCUCGAUAGAGCUGUACAAGACUCUCACAUAGUCAUGUAUUGACACAACUUUGUGGGAUUUCCAAGGUCACAAUGGAUGCACCAUUGAAGAUGUGUGCUGCUGUUUUCCUACAGUAUGGUUUUUCCAGUAGAAUUGGAUUGAGUCACUAUACUGUCAAAAGUAUAUCAACUAGAAUGAGCUAAGGGAUUCUCAGGUAGCUAGUAAAACAUGAUUUGGGGAUCUGUUUCCAGAGGCUAUUAGUGUUUCAAUAGGUAGAGUAAGAAAGAUCCAGCCUCAUUAAUGUAAGCAGCGGUCAUAUAAUAUGUUUAGGCACCAAAAAAUGAAUAAAAAUAUGGAAGAUAGAUGAAUUCUCUCACUCAUAGAUCUGGGACGGCUGUAUGACAUUUACUGUCACCAUUCCAGAUUCUCAGGCCUUUAGCCCCUUACAGCAUUAGUCCCUCUGAUUCUUGGGACUGUGGGUUCACCACAAAUUACACUACCAGAUUUGCUGGUUCCCAAAGUUUCAGAUGGCAUUUUGUGGGACCUCUCAGACUCUGUAAGCUAGUGAGCCAAUUCUGUCAGUCUCCAUGUGCAGAUAGGUAGGUAGAUAGAUGGAUAUAUACAUUCACACAUUCAUACAUACAUACAUACAUACAUACAUACAUACAUACAUACAAACAUAUACAUAUCUCAAAUGUGUGUGAGUACCUGAGGCCAGAAUAGGGUGUCAUAUCUACUUAGUCUAGAGUUACAGAUGGUUGUGACUUAACCACUGGGAAUUCUCAAAACUAAACUCAGGUACUCUGGAAGAGCAACAAAUAGCUGUAGCUAAUGAGCCAUCUUUCCAGCACCCAAAUUUCUUUUCAAAAGAAUUUUCCAGCUAAUAUGGUAGUACAUGCCUAUAAUCCUGGAAGCUAAAAGGAAGAGCAAGGGGAACAAUGAGUUCCACAUAAGGCUGAGUUGCACAAGACUUUGUCUCAAAGGGAAAAGAAGAAUUUAUAUAUGAGUGUGUAGGGGGGGGUGGUAAGCUAUAAUUCUCUUUAUUGGCUAAGAAGAUUUAGAGUGUUAUAGUCCUGUAUCUCUUAAUGUGACCCAAACUGUAAAGUAUCUGUGAAAUUUUACACUUUUUAGGUAGCCAUGCUUUUAAUUGGUACAUGAAGAGGCAGGAGAGAUCAGUUUCUGGAAUGUAUUUUAUUUAAUACAAUAGAUCCAAUAUUUUGCCAUUUGACGUGACCGACAUAAAAUUAUUAUUAUGGUAUUUUGUAUUCUUUGUGUUCUACGGACUCUUUAAAAGCUGGUGUGUGCUUCUCAUGUCUUUCUCGCUGAAUUAGUUGCACCACAAAUCCCCCAUUGUUGUAGGGUGUCUAGUGGCUAUCGAAUCAGACAGACCUGAACUCUAGUGUUCACCCCUGUGCAACUGUACACACAGAGACAUGAACACACAUACACACAAACACAACAUGCACCACAUACUCUGUAGCAACACCCACAACUUGAGACAUGAGGUGCUAAGACAAGCUGAUUUAUGGUUAUUUUUCCACAGUGACCAUUAAAAUACACAUUUCAAAUACUUUUAGAGAAAUAUUUCAUAUACAAUUUCUUUGUAAAGAGCAAAUUUUUCAAGAGACAUAACAAAAAUUGUGAUAUAUAAGCAACUUUCAAAAUGGCUAGAUUUUUUUAAGUAGAACUUUGAAGAAAGCAGCUUUAAAACAUAUGAAUUGAUUUGAAGUGAGAUAUUUUAUGUAUGUUUUUCAUAAGUGUUAUAUUGGUGAACAGAUUUAAAUACUGUCAUUCUUAGUUCGCAGACAGUUGAGCAAUAAAGCAAUGUCGCUGCUUUCUUGUUUGCUAUUUAUUUUCAGAUCCUGGGUUUUCGUUCAGCUGAGGGAUCUGUUAAUAAGACACCACACCUUCUUCUCUGUUAACCGCCUUAUCCCUACCAGAUGAAGCCAGUGCGCAUCCAUGACUUCAAGUCCCAGCAACACUGGGGGCUGAGGGUGGGGCAGCAAUGGAGGCUGCGCACCAGUCACCCACCACCCAAGGCUGCAGCUGAACCGAUCGUCAUCCUUGUCCUCAGCGUCACAUCGCAUGGGCACUUCUGCCUUUCCAGGUUACCCUCCUAAACGACAAGAAUCGCUUCCUCAAAUGAGCAAUCUGCCUCAUCUCUAAGGUCUUCCUGCGCUUUGGUGGGUCUUUUACUUCAGAAGAAGACUGACUCACUUUACUGGGUCUGCUUCGAACAAGCACCUCUGACUGAGUUGACCUGGACCGGCUUGAUGCCUACUAUGCCAAGUCAUCUUCUGCAGGACAAAGGAUGAAACUCCAGAGCAAAGGAUCUCAUUUGCCUCACGAUGCCUACUUGCUGCAGAGCUGGACUCUGAAGCCUGACUGACUGAAUUAGUCUAAAGUCAGAACCUUGGGCGUGCUGCUCACGCACACUCAGAUGAGCUCUAUUUCAAAAGCUUUAGCAUACAGACACCUGAGCCAACUGUACAGUACUUGCAUAAUCCCAUAAGUUAAUUUUCUCAGUACCAGUUAUUGGUCAACUCAGAAAUGAUACAUCAAUAACGUUACAUAAACAAAUGUCCUUCAGCAUGCUGAGAACCCCAUUAACAUCUAACAGGCAGCUCCAGCCCUGUAUGAUUUAGCUCCCCUACCACAGUGCAUAUCACCCAUAAAACAGUCCUAGUCACAAGCAUAUUUCAAAUCCCAAACGUUUUGGGAGAUAUUUCAUAGUAUAAUUACAGCAGAAGAAAUAACGGCAUGUGUGAUGGAAAUUCACAAGUAAUAAGAUGUGUAUAUCUUUCUGUGUUCAUUGGCUUCGUCCUAAUUGGCUGCUUCUAAUACACGUUGCCACAGUCACACUACUUUAAAUACAUUUCCCAGUGUCAAGCCCAUCAUGUGUCUCCUUGUGGCUUUCUCCUUCAUUGAGUUGGAACAUAAUGAACGUUAUUGUGCCUCAGGUUUAUUAAAGAUAAAGGACUUAAUUUUUAUAUAAUAUAGGCUUUUCUCACAAACAGACUGCUUCCCAGAGCUGUGUGUAGUUUUAUGAGCCAGGCACAAUUGCUAGGAACCAUACAAGGUGGAUUAGAUUCAUUAGAGGCAUUAUGUCUGAUUUGAGAUUACAGAGACUCAACAAACACAUGACUGGCUGGGAGUUGAUCUACCUUACCUCCAGGCUGCAUUAUCACAUAAUAAAUGCUUUAUAAUACUUUUAUUCAUUGGCCUAGAAAUUGUAUUAUGAGUUCUAAAUAGCUUUAAUGGUUUUGUUAUUCUUUUCAACUAAAACCACCUACGUCCUAAACUUCGGCUGUCAUCGGGGAUCUUGUUUAAAAGCAGAUUCUGUUUCAGUGGAUACAGAGUGAGGCCUGAGGCUGUGCGUCACUUGCGAAUUCCUAAGUGAUGUCCAGAAAGCACAGAUUGCCAAGAUGAAAGCUGGAGAUAGACAACGGUGGACUUCAGAAAGGCAAUCUGUCCACCACUGCAGGCAUAUACUCCACACCUGCGAUUUCUUCUGCCCUGUAACUCCUGAGAGUGUCACUCAUUUUGUCAAGAAGAAUGCUGUCGUUUGAAAUCUUUCACAUAUCACCUGCCUGACCUUGAGAUGGUGCAGCUGCCUCGGUGGAGUUAAAAAUGGACCUUCAAGCUGGCUUUAGUUUCUGUUGCUCUGCCUGCAAGUGUCGUCCCACUCAUCUGUUUAUCACAAGCUCUUUACCACUUGUGUUGUUGUUAGCCUG